rnacentral:tRNA from 1 species
AGAGAGGUGUCCGAGUGGUCGAAGGAGCACGCCUGGAACGCGUGUGUGGGGUAACUCACCGAGGGUUCGAAUCCCUUCCUCUCUGCCA